rnacentral:sRNA from 2 species
UAUCCCCCAAACUAAGGGGGGAUGAGAACCACCGACCGGGGUUCGACAACUGGCGCAGCCAGUUGGACAGACGACGAGCUUGCGAGGAGACUGCCCGAAGGGCGAGCGCAGCGAGUCAAUCCCCCCCUCACCGCUA